AUACCAGAGCUCAGUGACAUGCAAGAUUAAAGCAAUAUGGAAUUGUUGUACAUUAGAAAGCAGUUGGCUAAAGUCAGCAAAUACAAUGAAUGGCAUCAAUUUCCCCCAACAUGUCUGAGUUGGAAGGCUGGAGAGGGAGCAGUAGCCAGAGCACCAGUACCUGAGGAAGCACCAGCAGCUGGAACUGAAGAGCCAGAGGGGACAACGGCAACUGGAACUGAAGAGCCAGGAGAAACUGGAGCAGCUGGAGCAUUAGAAGAAAUAAUGGCAAUUCAUGCUAGAGAUAGCCAGGUUCAAGGUCGAUGUACGCUUG
ensembl:antisense Gm14764 predicted gene 14764